AUGCGCUUGCGCAGCCUUGCUUCUCGGUGACGUACAUUUCCAGCGCCCAGUACGAGCCGCCCAGCGCAAUGCAUGGUGGUUUCUCGGCGCGUCAAGGUGCAGUCGGGGCCAUGGCGAGUGAUUUCUAUUUGCGCUAUUACGUUGGGCACAAGGGCAAGUUCGGCCACGAGUUUCUCGAGUUCGAGUUCCGCCCUGACGGUAAACUAAGAUAUGCAAACAACAGCAAUUAUAAAAAUGAUGUCAUGAUCCGAAAAGAGGCCUAUGUACACAAGAGCGUGAUGGAAGAACUAAAGAGGAUCAUUGAUGACAGUGAAAUUACAAAAGAAGAUGAUGCAUUAUGGCCUCCACCUGACCGAGUUGGUCGGCAGGAGCUUGAAAUUGUAAUUGGUGAUGAACACAUCUCUUUUACCACAUCAAAAAUUGGUUCUCUUAUUGAUGUAAAUCAGUCCAAGAACACCAUACAAAGACUCUUUAAUGAGAUGAGGUUCUGGACCUUGAGUCUGGGGCGGGGGUGUGUGUCAAAAAAGCAAUAGUGAUAGCACCAAAAGAAUACAGUUAAGAGAGGCAUCUGAGAGACAAAUAAAGCAGAAGCAGUACAACUCUGCCCCAGCUGUCUUGACAAAAUGCCACUGUAGAAGAAACAGCACUACUCUGUGGAUCCUUGAAAAUAGGCUUCAUCUGUUGAUCUAAACUAAACCUAAGGAUCCAGAAGGUCUAAGAGUGUUCUACUACCUUGUCCAGGACCUCAAGUGUCUCGUCUUCAGUCUCAUUGGAUUACACUUCAAGAUUAAGCCAAUUUAAGUUUGUAUUGUAGAGAUUUUUGUGGUGGGAUCUCUUUCAUUCCUUAUCUCUUCUAUUAAAUGACUUGUAUGUAUGUCAAUUUUUUUAUAGAGUGAAUUUAAUAAAUGUUAAAAAUCUU